rnacentral:lncRNA from 1 species
GAAAAAUGCAAUCAUAACCCUUCACAUAGAUGGUUCCCUUUAUUUAGAAUGUCUUGCUUCCCCACCCAAAUCUCCUUUUGCCUGACUAACUCCCAUUCAUCUUUCUGAGCUGAGGUUUUAAGUGACCUUUUCCUGUAAACCUUCCCCAAGCACUCCUUCUUGGUAGAUAAUUCUUUGCACUUGAGCUCCAUGUACAUCUAUAUUAUUGAAUUUAACACACUGUGACGAUUUUUGCUUUAGGUAUGCCUUCUUUAGAAGACAACGAACCCAUCAAGAGCAAGACCAUGUCUUAAUUUUUCUUCUAUCCACUAUAUGUAACACAAUGCCAGGAGCAUGGCUCGGCACUAUAAAUAUUUGUUGAAUAAUUGAAUGAACACAAUCUCCAAACAAACAUUAUAACAUUUAAAUAUAAUAAUGAGAAAGUGAUAGUAAAUUCUAAGGUUAUGAAGGUGUUUACUGCUGAGACUUCCUUUUAAAAUAAGUGCAUUCUGGUGUUGUCAUAAUUGAAAUAAGCCCACAUUUAUAUUUUACUCGAUUAUUUUGAUGUUCGUUGAGAUGACUCUUGAUUCCACUGAAUAUCCUGAAUGUACAAUACCUCCUGCUUUUUCCUGGUAAUCACUGAAAAUCUAUAGCAAUUUAAACUUCGAAUAAAAUUUCUCGAUGGUACUUUUUUUUUCACUAAACAAUAUCAGUGAGCAAAAACAAUUAAAAAUUAUUUGAUGUAAUAUAUUAAGUACUGUAUUUUCAUUUCUUAUCUAUUCGAAUUCAAUGCUAAUUAGAACCUGUACAAUAAAUUUGAUAGUGUUCUUUCAUUUGGUAAUGAAGCGAGUGGUCUUACCAGAAAAGAGAAAAAAAUAUAUAGUGCAUUUUUUACUUUUCUUCAAGAUGUAGCAACAAUCAUGUAAACACAUACACAGCAAACAUGACUAUGGCAAUAUUCGAUUUUAGCAUCACUUUCAAAGAUGAAAUAGGUUUCCCUAAAAAUACUCCUCUUCUAACAUCCUUAAAAAGAAAUUGAUAUGAAAUUUUAAAUACUCACUGGAAUCCUUAAGAACUUUACAGAAGCCCUCAGAACUGAAGCUACUGCAAUCUAGGGAUAUAUUUGCCUGUAUUUUAAAACACAUACUCUAGUAAAAGAUUAUACUCUUCAGAAUUUUGAAAUAUUACCGAAUGAACUUGUUUUCCCUUCUAAAUUAUAUACUUGAUAUCUGGUGGCUUCCCAACUUUAUCAUUGAGUCUACCAGAGUAAUAAUAGCUUUCUCACCAUGCUGUUAAAAUAUAAAAAUACCUUGAUAGCUUCAAAAAUCAAUGAUUCCACUGUAUAGGAAAUAAUGCAUCCUUAUUGUACCUCAUAAUUGAUAACUAAAAUCUUAAGAUUUGCUGGACAUGGUAAUUAUGUUAGAGGAAAAAUUAUAAAUGGGUACUUUUAGCAAUAUCCCAAUUUAUAAUCCUUCUUACAUUGGCAAAUUUUUUGCACUUUGCGAUUUUUAUUGAUUUCAGAAUAAGGGUCAUUUUUGCAACUAUAUUUAUCUGCCUGUCCUUGUACAGAGGAAAAUUCAGAAUGCUAUAUCACAACAAUUAUCCAAUUAUAGCAAAUUUCACAUAAAGUUAAAUAAUUGUAUGCAUUUUUCUAUUGUGCAAAUCACUGUUAUUUUUAAUUUAAGAUGUAAAUACCAUUUUCUUUUUUCCAUAUACUAGAAUUUCUGGUAAAGUUAUAGGGCCAUGUUUAUGGUGUUUUCUGUAAAAGCAGCCGUUAAUUGUUGCUUCACUGCUGAGAGACAUUCAUUUAUUCAGUAACUGUUUCUUAAAGUGGAAACUAUCACAACAAAUCAGUGUUGCUAAAAGCUUCUUUUAAAAGUACACACACACACACAACACCUCUAACUUAGUAAAAGAAAGUAAACCAUGUCUGUAGUUUCACCAUAUUUAUUACUCUCCCCUGAAGUUUGCCUUAAUUUCACCAAAAUUUGAAGGCACUAGGUAUGUUCAGAAAAUGUGAGGAAAAAAAAUUCCCCUACUUUUCAGACAUGAAUUAUAGUUCUUCAGGCACCCAAGAUUCACCAAAGAUUGGCAGAAUUGUUCUGCCUCCUUCUGUCUUUUACUUCUCCAUCAGUCUGAAGUUAAUAAUAGAUGUGUUAUACCACCAGAAAUGUCCUCUUCCUCUUUUCUUUCAUCGCUAUUGCUUUCUACUACUUCUCUUCACCUUUAAGAAUUAGUGUAGAAGGAUGGAGCUGGAUAAUGAGGGAAAAGAUCUUCCUUCCUGAGAAUAAUAGAGACUCUUACCUGUUGAUCAUUUAGGACAUCGAAUCUCAAACUGCAGUCCCCAAGCAUCAGCAUCUAGAUCACCAGGGACUUGUUAGAAAUAUAAAUUUCUAACUCUGAGAGUGGGGCUCAGCAAAUGUCUUUUAACAAGCCUCCAGGCGCUGGUGCAACAUGCUAGCGUUCUAGGACCACUGAUUUAGGGACUAAUUACCAUGACAAUCACUCUGGAGAGAGUGCACAGAAAAUUCGGUGCUAUCCUCGAAGACCUUCCCCAGAUUAUUUGCUUAAAUACAGGAAAAACUGAUGUCAUGAGGCACCGUGCCUUUGGAUAUAUUGUAAAUGAAGAAAAUGUACCCUAAACAACUAUGACUACCGGUCAUUUAUCUCACAAGUUACAAUAUGAAAUUUAAGAAUUUGAAAGACUAAAGGAUUAUGUUGGAUUGAAUGGUCCCCCCCACUCCCGGCAAUUCAUGUCUACCUGGUGCCUCAAUAUGAGACCUUACUUGGAAACAGGGUCUUGGCUGAUGUAGUAGUUAAAAUGACGUUAAGGAUUAAGGCGAGCCUGGCAUUCUAGAGAGCAGGUCAUGUAGAGAGGUACCCAGGGAAGAAGGAGGCAGAGAUUGUAGUAACGCUGCCACAAGCCAAGGAACAUCAAGGCUUGCAGACAACUUUGCUAGGAAAGAGGCAUGGACAAUUUCUCCCCCAGAGCCUCCCCACUGGAGCCAUCCUGGCUGAUGCCUUCAUUUUGAAAAUCAGGCCUCUUAAACUAUGAUAGAAUAAAUGUCUGCUGUUUUAAGCCAACCAGUUUUUGCUAAAACUGUUAUGGCAGCUCUGGAAAACUAAUACAGGGAACUCAUAAGGUUUAAAUCUUCAGAAUAUUCUUUGACUUACUCUUGGACCAUAAAGACUUUCUCAUGAAAAUAGAUUCUAUAAGAAGGCUGCCCUGCCAUCCCCCUGACCCCACCCUCAGUCAGCUCCAUUGGUUCUACCCCCCUCCUCUGCGCAUCCCACCAUCCUUUUAAAGGACCUUUGAAAAGUCUAGCUUUAGCUGUGAAAGUCAUAUUUACUGUUGGAGGAAAAAAAACCUCUCCGAGAAAAAAUAUUACAUGCAAAAACUCUUUUCAUGUGGAGAAAUAAUGCACUUGUAUAUUUUUAGUUAGAAAUUAUGCCUAUUAUCUUCCAUCCGUCUUUCAGUAACAUUUGAGGUUCAUGUGGAUUAUGUUUUUAAGCUGCUUUAUACUCAUUUGUUCAAAUACGUACCAAGCCUUUUAAUUGGAUCAUUUUAUAUGCAAAUAACUCUAAUACUAUUAAGUGUAUCUGUGUCUCCUUCUGUUGCUGUUUUAGUUGUGUCUUAAAUGCUCUGACCCUCCACAGACAGGGUUAAUUAGUGUGUGAGUGUGUGUGCGGGUGGAGGCUGGCAGCUGUAGAUCUAAGAUAAAAAAUAGAGAUUUACCAAGCAAAGCUCUUUGUGUCUUAAAAACAAAACACAUGUAAUGAUGAAUAUUUAAGGAGCUGCCUUAAGGAUAUGGAUUUGCAUUCGCUGUACAUUAUACAAAUUGCUCUGUGCUCUCCUUUGCAACAUUUUGUUUUCUCAAAUGAUUUAGUAAAACCUCUACAUUUCAAUGUACAAAUAUGUUACAAAGUCAUACAAAUUGAAAUACUUAUUAACAAUAAAGCUUUGGUAGAAUAGCUUAAAAGAUCUAUUUUUUUAAUGUAUGAAAUUUAUUUUUUAGUGAUUUUUUUUGUUGUAACAUUCCUUAAACUUACUAUGUAAAAACACAGAAUGUUUAGGAACAUGAUUUUUCUGUGCUUUCGUCCAUUUUUCAUUCCUACAGCUCUCUCUCUCUCUUUUUUUUUUUUUUUUUUUUUUGGCUCUGCCUGUGGCAUAAUUAAGCCCAUGUCACAGCAAUAACCAGAGCCACAGAAGGGACAACCCUGGAUCCUUAACCUGCUGAGCCACCAGGGAACUUCAAUACAGCUCUCAUUUCUAAAGCUGCUAGUAUUUGUUUCCCCUAAAAAUUUUAACUUUCUUGGUCAGUUUGUCAACAUUGUCUUCCAGUAUUUCUCAAUUAUAUUUGAUCCAGCAUAAAGACCUCAAAGAUAUUUUUGAGACAAUUCCCUCAACACAAGCUCUGUAUACCACAUUCUAAUCCAAAAAGGGUAGUGCAAUUCAAAUUCCAUGCUAAGGAAGCUAGAGUUGGCUUUUAAAAAUCAGUGCAGGUGAUAAAUAUUUCUGAGUAAGGGGUGAGCAUAAGAAGUGUUAGACUGAAUCUGAAGGUAUUAAGCAAGACUGCUUGAACUUCUUGAUUUGUCUGUAUUCUGUGUAGAUUUAUGCUAUUUCUAUACCAGUCAUUAAAACAAACAACAACAUUUUGUUUCAUUCUUUUGGUAUAUUUUGUGCUAAGUAUUAGGGAUAGAGAAGAAAUUCAAAGUCCUGCUUUCAACGAAGCGUAGUAUAACAAGAAAGAGGGACAAUAAACAGACAACUCAGUCAGCUUAAAUAUAGACUUGGGGCACUUGGACUUGAGGAAAUUAAGAACAUGUACUCUAUUGGCAUCCUAGGGUGGUUGUAACAAAAUAGCACAAACCUAGUUAGUGGCUUAAAACAACAGAAAUGUAUUCUGUCAUAGUUCUAAAGGCUAGAAGUCCAAAAUCAAAGCCCAGCAGGCUAUGCCUCCUCGAAAGGCUCUAGGGAUCCUUCUUGCCUCUUCUCUUCCUAAGGCCACAUAAGUCCAAUCUGCUUCCAUCUUCCUAUGACCUUCUCUGUGAGUCUCUCUGUCUUUUUCUUUCUUGUCUUUUGAUUUGUAAUGUAUCAUUGGAUUUAGGGCCCACCCUAAUCCAAGAUGACCUUAUAUCAAGAUCUUUAACUUAAUUACACUUUUAAAGACCAUUUUUCCAAACAACAUUACAUUCAUGGGUUCCUGGUGGACCUGUCGUUCAGAGACCACUGUUCAACCCACUACAGCUCCCCAGAGGAGGGGACACCUUUAUUGUGGAGCAGGUUUGAGGGGAGAGAGGAGGCAGUGUGAAUUCCUUUUAGGAAUGGACAAUGCGACAUGCCCAAGUAUUUUCCAUUUUUAGCGCAAUGCCUGGCACACAAAAAGCACUCUGUGACUGUGGGAUCCUAAUCAUAAUAAUUAUAAUAAUCCCACAUGAGAUGUACUCAUGAAAACCUUCAGCAGGCAGGUGGACAUAGACGUCUAGAGAUCAGAAGAGAGAUCUGAAUCAGGAAAAAGAAUGGAUUUGAUGGCCCAAGGAAGCUGUGCAAGAAAAGGAAAGAGCAAAGCAAGGACAAUCUUUGAGGGAAAUCAAGAGGGAAAGCUGGAGAGAGGAGUGACAAGGAGGCAAGAGAGGAAAAGAAUCUUUAAGAAGAAAAAAAAAAAAAGGUGUCAUGUUAGAUGAAGGUGAUUAUGUAUUAUAAAGCCUAGAUUUGGAGACUUUGAUUCUACAAGCAAUUUCAGAAGUUAAGAAGCCAGCUUUCAGUGGUUAACAAUGGUAGAUUUUUAAUGGAUUAAAAUUUUUUCUAGAGUUCCCCUUGUGGCGCAGUGGAAACGAAUCCAACUGGUAUCCAUGGGAAUAUGGAUUUGAUCCCUGGCCUCACUCAGUAGGUUAAGGAUGUGGAAUUGCCAUGAGCUGUGGUGUAGGUCGUGGACUCAGUUUGGAUCCCUCACUGCUGUGGCUGUGAUGAAGGCCAGGCAGCUGUAGCUCUGAUUUGACCCCUAGCCUGGAAACCAUAUGCCAUGGGCGCAG